rnacentral:lncRNA from 1 species
UUACACCAUUUAAGGAUACACCAUGAAGAGCUGGUGUUUGGAGCUGUAGCAGCCAUCAUAUCACCACGAGUAACCCACCCAAGUAACCCACUCUGUUGAGGAUGGAAGACUGGAUGGAUGGAGAUAGCUGGGGAUUUUGAUGACACCUGUGACUUCUGAACCAAUAUGGAUUCAUUCUCUAACAUCUUGUAAAAUAAGUAUCAGAAAGCAGACUUCAGUGGCCCACUUCCAUCUGAGCUGGGAGGGUCAAGAAGCAAGAAGUCAGCUCUCCUUCAUGGCAUGUGGUUAAAGAUGAUGGAAUUUGGAGACCAUUAUCACCUUCCGAUUGUACUGUUUCCAGAGCCUGUAUUCCCUGCCAGUGAGCAAUGUGACCCCCCAAAGCAGCCGUGUUAGGACAACCCGGUUUCUGUGUUUCCAUUAUUAUUUGCCUCAACCAGCUGCCUAAAUCCUAUGGAUUUAGUUCCUGAAAAGGCUCGUGGCCAAUUUCAGUGGUUUUCUGCCCCUUCCUAGUUAAGAACAAAGGUAAUAGCUGAACCAGGACAUCCCUCUGGGACGUGCUGAAAGGAGGAAGGAUGCUAAACAAAGAACACAUGGAC